AGAGUUUGAUCCUGGCUCAGGAUGAACGCUAGCUACAGGCUUAACACAUGCAAGUCGAGGGGAAACGAUAUUGGAAGCUUGCUUCCGAUAGGCGUCGACCGGCGUACGGGUGAGUAACGCGUAUCCCAACCUGCCCCACCACGUUGGGGAUAACCUUGCGAAAGUAAGACUAAUACCCAAUGACGUCUCUAGAAGACAUCUGAAAGAGAUUAAAGAUUUAUCGGUGAUGGAUGGGGAUGCGUCUGAUUAGCUUGUUGGCGGGGUAACGGCCCACCAAGGCGACGAUCAGGUAGGGGUUCUGAGAGGAAGGCCCCCCACAUUGGAACUGAGACACGGUCCAAACUCCUACGGGAGGCAGCA
rnacentral:rRNA from 1 species